CAUUUGAUUAUGGUUGUUGUAUAACUCAGUGCAGACACAAUAUCAUGUGGCUGAGAGUCCUCUCCUAAUCAAGACGCCCCCUGCUUAGUAGCAAUGACGGAUACGUUAUUGCGGCAGUGCUUCCCAUUCGUGAGUUUGGGAACAACGAGAGAUAAAACUCUCGCCGGCCGGGAGGAUGUACUGGAAUUAUCGCUAUCAAAACUACUGUCUCGUCGCCGUCGCAAUAGAAGGCAAGCGUUAAAAGCGUAGCCCGAAUCUUGAUAAGGUUUAAAUUUGGUACCCUAUGCAAACUCAAGAAAUACCACUAAGGCGGUUUGUCGUGAAGUUGCAGUAAUGUAACUAUAAGACGAGGUCAAGGUACAAGUAGCCCAAGACAAUGACUAAGAAGAAAAGAUGCAAAAAUCUUUACUAAUGUGAAUGAUGGGUGAACGCUGCGGAUAACCACUUCCGCAUAGGUAAGUGUACAGCAUAAGCUGUUACGGCAUAAAGUCUAGGGUCGCUCCCGAAAGCUCACUUAUGUCGUCCUAUUGAGUGAAUAUGAUAGAAGGUAAUGACCAGCAACCCGAAGGGGUAUAUGGCGAUCAUAAUCAAG
rnacentral:sRNA from 12 species